UUCCGGUAUCCCAGAUGGGAGAAUGUCCGGGAAGGAAGCCAUGGUUAAUGUGCUCGAUGUGGCUUAGAGAUUAAGAAGUAGACUCAUGGUUAGCUUCACAGAGUUCCCGGAUGACCUUGGCAAGAGCUGUUUUGACCUUCAACUUGGCCAUGCUCAUUUCCUCUGCUUCUCAGGCACAGGGCAGGCUGGAUCUCCUCCCAAAUUGCAUGCUCCAUGCCAAAGAGGUCAAGCCACCAAAUGACACUGACUUCCUGCCUUUAAGAGCUUUAUCUCUGCGGACCUGGAGCUGCUGGUCACCAUGGAAACAGAAGCUUUUGUUCACCACUUCCUCUUCUCUUUUUCUCGCUCCCCACCCCUCGUCUUUCCUUCCUCUCCUCACACCCACUUGCCCUCCUCUCUACUUUCUUUCCUCUAUUUUUAUUCCUAAUUUUCUAUCUCAC
rnacentral:lncRNA from 1 species